rnacentral:rRNA from 1 species
UAAGACAGGCGUGAAAUCCCCGGGCUCAACCUGGGAACUGCGUUUGUGACUGCAAGGCUAGAGUAUGGCAGAGGGGGGUGGAAUUCCACGUGUAGCAGUGAAAUGCGUAGAGAUGUGGAGGAACACCGAUGGCGAAGGCAGCCCCCUGGGCCAAUACUGACGCUCAUGCACGAAAGCGUGGGUAGCAAACAGGAUUAGAUACCCUGGUAGUCCACGCCCUAAACGAUGUCAACUAGGUGUUGGGUGGGUAAAACCAUUUAGUACCGGAGCUAACGCGUGAAGUUGACCGCCUGGGGAGUACGGCCGCAAGGUUAAAACUCAAAGGAAUUGACGGGGACCCGCACAAGCGGUGGAUGAUGUGGAUUAAUUCGAUGCAACGCGAAAAACCUUACCUACCCUUGACAUGUCCGGAAGCCCUUAGAGAUUUGGGUGUGCUCGAAAGAGAGCCGGAACACAGGUGCUGCAUGGCUGUCGUCAGCUCGUGUCGUGAGAUGUUGGGUUAAGUCCCGCAACGAGCGCAACCCUUGUCGUUAAUUGCCAUCAUUCAGUUGGGCACUUUAACGAGACUGCCGGUGACAAACCGGAGGAAGGUGGGGAUGACGUCAAGUCCUCAUGGCCCUUAUGGGUAGGGCUUCACACGUCAUACAAUGGUCGGUACAAAGGGUCGCCAACCCGCGAGGGGGAGCCAAUCCCAGAAAGCCGAUCGUAGUCCGGAUCGUAGGCUGCAACUCGCCUGCGUGAAGUCGGAAUCGCUAGUAAUCGUGGAUCAGCAUGUCACGGUGAAUACGUUCCCGGGUCUUGUACACAUCGCCCGUCACACCAUGGGAGCGGGUUCCGCCAGAAGUAGGUAGCCUAACCGCAAGGGGGGCGCUUACCACGGCGGGGUUCGUGACUGGGGUG